UUGAAUAACAAAGAGAGACAGGUCUGUGGAUGACCUAACACACCCUUAUUGUUUUGAAAUUCCUGGAUUGUAAAAACUGCGAAUGACAAAGUUUCAAGUGGAUCUCCGUUCACUCGUCCUUUGUAACAGAAAUCAAUCCCACAGUUGCAUAAAAGUCAGACAUGUCCUUAAUAGUGGCAGCCGCGCAGACUAUUUAUCUGGGGAAGGGUAUCCGUAUAACUGCAGUCACCCACGUGUGCUGGCGCCCGAGCUCUACUUUUUCCUGCCUUCUUCUCUAUCAGCUAUCGUUGACAUCCAUCAUCCAUCUAUGUGUUCUCUGAAAAGACAGGAUGCCAACAGCGAGCCCAAUAGGGAGCCCAGGCAAGCAUAAUGAAGAAAACAGGCAUCAGGGCUUGUCCUGUCUAGCCGGAGACCUACGAAAACCUGCUUUGCAAUUCUUCAGGACGCCAGCAAUGCCUCUAGAGGAGCCUCCACCACCUGCUGGCUGUGUGACCAAGCCAGACACUCAUCACUCUAUGCCUCAGUUUCCUCUUCUAUAAAACAGCGUUUGCAAACCACUUCCAACCUUGUGCAAAUGUGCUUCUCGCUUCUGUUUGAUCUGACUUCCGUAACGCUUAGAUCUCGUGGAUGAGGACUCUGGCUCCUAAUAUUUGUCUCACUCCUUUCUCCAAGUUUGCUAAAUGAUUAACAUCAAUGAGGGCUCCAGCUGCCACCAUCCACCCAGAGCCCUGCUUUGGUGGGCUAGCACUCCGAGCUUCGCAUGCAUUAUCUCAUUUAGUCCCGCAGCCACUUACGAGGUUGUGGGGGUUUCCCUCCAAUGGCAGCUCUGCUCCCGCUGGCUGUCAAAUUCUGGAAUUGGCCCUGGUGGUGAGAAAGGAAGGAGCUUCUUUACUAUUUCGAACAAACUGUCAGAACUGACACAAGCUGGGUUUUUAAACAUCAAGCCAUCCAGGAUGGGUAAGGUAUUGAGAAAUGUUCUAGAAUAUAUUCAAAGUCAAUGAGGGAACAAA